UGGAUCAAUGAUGAUCAUUGGUAGGGUGUGAAUCCCCCUCAUUGAUGAAGCCCGUGGUGUAACUCUGAGGCCAAU
ensembl:snoRNA